rnacentral:lncRNA from 1 species
GUUGGAAAACAGCCAUAAUUCUGCCGAUUAUGCGCCGAAUACGCAACUCGCCUCUCGUUCUGCGCGUGUUCGGUUCGCAUGCUAAUAGCAUCAAUACGAGAGAUGGAGUGUCGCGCAUCCGUGGUUGUCAAAAGCACCAAAACAGGUAGCAGACGAUUUGCAGGCUUCCGAACUACACGACGAGUGCUGUGUGAUUCUUUCUGAAAGUCAGCAUCGCAAAUGGGUAGUGCUGUCUCCGAACGGCGCUUGUCAACAAGUCUAUGUCGAUCACUGUUGCGCCUGUCCAUGGUGAACCCUAGAUGCAAUUGUCCUACCAAUAACACAUCGUGGGAUACACUGCGGAGUCGCAGAGGCCUGCUCGCCUGAAACUAUUGCGCCUAUUGCAAGAAGUUUAAAGGCUCAACGAUCCAAGUCGGCAAACUCGCAAAUGUCACUUCGCGCUUCAAGUGUAGUCCACAGGGUGCGCGUAGGUGUGCCGCGCCGCACCCGACCUCAUUUUUCGUUUAUCCAAGCUGAGGAGAUUCAGCCAGUGUUUCCAGCUUUAUGGGUAGUCUGUUCUUUGGGAUUAUGACGUGCUUUGGCGUUAUGCGGAUGCCUCACGAUACCACUACACGACACGGAUUACAUUGCCGGAAACGUUUCAUCACGGAAAGCUCCACGGCGUGAGUUGAUCUGUGGCCACAGGGCAAUCUACGACCUACGUUGAUUCGAUGGCUUCUACCGGCAAAGAGGUAAACACACGAGGGACACCAUAGCUCAGCCCCGCUUUUGAAGACAUCCAUGCAAUGAAGUUCAUAAGCUCCUUGUGUGUGCAAACUCCGCUAAGCAGGUGCAUGCAUCGCAAAAUUUUCCGGCGGGCGCGAUGAAUUCUCUGUGUUGCCUCAUCUUCUUCCUCUACAGUGGCAACGGAACCAGCCUGGUAAGGUGAGGUGGUCACCGGGAUGGAGACUAUUCUUGCCACCUUUCACCAAGUUGGUUUGACGCUACGAAGUGCCCCAUCCGUAUAUAUCAGCAUGCAUUUCAUGCCGUCAGUGGUUCACACCCCUGCUCACGCGCUCCCCCCAGACGUCUUCGGUCGUCCACGCCCCUUGGCACGUGAGCGUUCGGAAUUUUGGCGGUUUUCGCAGUACGAUAAAAGACAUAUUCUUAAUGUUCGAGCUUUCUUUUCACGGGAGAGCUGCGACGCCCUACAGCUGCAAUCCUGCUGGAACACGAGUCAGGUCCAGCCGGCGAGAGCUCUUCGAAUACCAAAUAUACGAUACGUCCGCGACCGCGAGGUUUUCACAACAAAGCACCCGUACAGCAGACUUGCGCUGUAAGAGAGUUAGCUACGAUAGAGUUCUGCUUGCUUUUUUCGCAGGAAGUUCUACACAUCGACAGCCCCGAAUUUCUAGAUACCGUAUCCAUCAAUUACAAAUAUUACAUCAAGUGGCUUGCCCUCUGACAACAGUACCUUCCUUUUUCUCCGCCUGCUCUACCUUUUUCACUAAGAUCGGUCCAGAUGUUUCAAGUAAGGUGGACCUCCUGUAACCAUUUCACCGCCACCUCUUUGCCACACUGUUUUUUGUUGUAACCCUGGUGCUUAGGCAGCGAAGAACAGACCUCUCUGAACAGGAUCUGUGCACCUCUUCAUUGAUCCUGGCCCUUUCGCCUAAGCCCGGCCAUCCUGCCGUCAAACCGAGCCGUAGGGGACAGUGGGAUGAAGCGGUCAGCAGCUGUAGCUGACUUCGAUGAACUGACUGGGAAUGCUUGGGACGGAACAGUGAAUUGUAGAUGAACCAGCGGUUUCCAUGGCUGGCAGUAUGGAACCCCGAGAUUGAUUCGCGGCUUAUUCGGCUCAAACUUGUAGACGCUCUCUUGGAAUGCAUUCAACCCUGCAUUUCGUCUAGCCUGGUUGUCUUCUCGAAGAACAAGACUGUCCUGCGAUUUUCUGCGCGUGCUUCCUACGAAUACAUCCGUUGCAUUUGGUUUCUUCAGAGGCAUCCCCAGAGCGGCGUUUACAGCAUUCCUCUCAGCCUCGGCUUCAUCAACUUCUUGGCGUUUUUUUUCAAGCGACGCAUAACGAGAAAAAGAAUCAUGUCGGCGGUCUGUUACAAUUUGACCCGUUCCCAAUACGGUGUAGUGCCUGGGAGUGUCCACAGCGUCCGAGACCACGUCGCAGGGUCGUGUUCUGUACUGAUACGACGUUUCGUAUGUUGAUCGAUCGGCCAUUGAAGACUGGGCUUUUUCAGCCGAGUAAGUCCACUGAGGACCUGGAAUAUGUGGUGGGGGUCGCUCACUCACGCCCCAAGCGGGUGAGCUGCUCAAAGGCUCGGUUCUGAACUCAUCUUUCUCGGCUAUCCCGGUCGAGUCGCUGGACCUGCCAAGGUUCUGAGCUGAGGCGGUCUCGGAAAAUUUUUCCUUGUACACCGUCUUAAACGUAUUGUUCGCAGCAAACUGUAGAAUGUCAUCUUUUUUUAUCAUUGGUUUUGGCCCUGCUUGCUGCGGCAAAUACUGGAACAAAGUCGGUGUAGACUUAUGAAGGGUCGGGGACGCCAGGCUGUCCAUUCUGGUGAUUUUGACUGAAUUCCGCUCACUGAAAGCUUCAGCAUACGUCGUCUCGAAUUCAUUUCGCACCUCUUCUGCCGUUUUCUUGAUCCUCCGUGUCUCAAUAUGUGGCGGGAAAUCUUCCAGGCUCAAUGACGUGGGGAAGCUCUCCAGGUGUUCUGGUACGACUGUUGUAUAAAAUUUGGGAACAUCUUCCUGGCCGUGGGAUACCGCACGUUUCGGUUCAUAGUGUACUUUAUAUGUUGUCAGAUAGUGCGCCUGCACCGGAUCUGAAGCGCGUGCACCCGCCGCUUGAUUUUCCGGCGGAGACAUUGCUGCUAAACCUCGGGC